rnacentral:rRNA from 1 species
GACGAACGCUGGCGGCGUGCCUAAUACAUGCAAGUCGAACGCUUCUUUCCUCCCGAGUGCUUGCACUCAAUUAGAAAGAGGAGUGGCGGACGGGUGAGUAACACGUGGGUAACCUACCCAUCAGAGGGGGAUGACACUUGGAAACAGGUGCUAAUACCGCAUAACAGUUUAUGCCGCAUGGCAUAAGAGUGAAAGGCGCUUUCGGGUGUCGCUGAUGGAUGGACCCGCGGUGCAUUAGCUAGUUGGUGAGGUAACGGCUCACCAAGGCCACGAUGCAUAGCCGACCUGAGAGGGUGAUCGGCCACACUGGGACUGAGACACGGCCCAGACUCCUACGGGAGGCAGCAGUAGGGAAUCUUCGGCAAUGGACGAAAGUCUGACCGAGCAACGCCGCGUGAGUGAAGAAGGUUUUCGGAUCGUAAAACUCUGUUGUUAGAGAAGAACAAGGACGUUAGUAACUGAACGUCCCCUGACGGUAUCUAACCAGAAAGCCACGGCUAACUACGUG